GGGAGUGGGAAAGAGGUGGCAUCGGCGGUUCAAGACUGAGUUUUCUAUCUCUUCAGUGCCUCUUUCAACAAUGAAGAUCAAACCAGGUUUUGUGCAAAUAUCUGCUGAGUGAACUACUUAUUUGAAAAUACAUCAUUGGUUAAUAUUCCCUUUUGCUCAUUGAAAUCUCAAAGACUACAGACCCCGCACAAGACAUUCUGACAUUCCCGUCUUUGAAAUGAAUGACAGCAAUGAUAAAUAUGGCUCACCUCCAGAGAUACAGAUCUCACAACUUCAUAUUUUUAAUAUAAAUUAUUAAUCUGAGAAGCAGAGAGAGAUAAGACCCAUGAUAAUCAAGCCAUAAACAGAUGCAUUUACUAGCUGAAUGGCCAACAAUGGAAUUCAACAAAUCCAUCUUGAGCACGGCAGCCAGGAGUGUGGUGCAAUUCCAUUAGAUGAAAGAGAUCUACACAUUCAGAAGCACAUGAUUCUUCCCCCUUCCAUGAUUCCAGUGGCCAAUAGAAUGGAGUGUAGUGGCGUGAUCUUGGCUCACAACAACUUCUGCUUCCCACAUUCAAGCGAUCCUCCCACCUUAUACUCCUGAGUAGCUGGAACCACAGACAAACUACAAUAAAGCCAUGCCCUGACUGGAUGUGCCUAACAUUUGUCUGGUGCUUAAAGGAGUUGGCUGCAUGCGUGGAAAUGUUGGAAAGUCACCAAAAAUAGUUCUCCAAGUCAGAAGCGGUGCAAAAGCUGCCUCAGCUCUUGGUGGAUUUUCAAUUUCUCCCAGCCAUCUCUGUUUCGCUAAAGGUUUCUGAAGACAGUGGAAUGCUGUUGAAGACACCACCUUGAUAAAACAAAAACAUCAGCCAAAUUAAAUUUAAAGGAGUUUAAUUGAGCAAAGAAUUAUUCAUGAAUCAAGCAGUCUUCCAAGCCAGAGUAGGCUCAAAUACUCCAGCACAGCCACGUGGUGGAAGAUUUAUGGACAAAAGAAGAAAAGUAACAUAUAGAAAAUGGAAAUGAGGGGAAGCUUUUUUCUCCUCCCCAUCCUGAUCACUAGUAUGAGAAGGGGUGCUAAUGGACCAGCCUUGGCCUUGCAGAUGAAGAUGAUGAAGGAAGAAGAUGUAUAAAGAACCUCUGAAAGAGUCCCAGUUUUACAUUUCAAAGUCUUUUUCCUUCUGUUGUUUAUUGUGUUGGGUUGGAGUGGAGGAUAUUUGAUGGAGAAUUGAUUCUGAAACUUGCCAAAAUAUGGAUAAUACUUUGCUCCUUUUCCAUUGUGGGUUAUCACAAAGAAGAGUUUCACUUUUAGUCAUCUAUUUACAGGUACGGCAAUAGCUAUUUUCUUUUUCUUUUUUUUAUUUUAGGUUUUAUUUUAGGUACAUGUGAAGGUUUCUUGUAUAGGUAAACUAGUGUCAUGUGGGAUUGUUGCACAGAUUAUUUUAUCAACCAGGUAUUAAGGAAGCUCAGUACCCAAUAGUUAUAUUUUCUGCUCCUCUCCCUCAUCCCACUCUCCACCCUGAGGUCGACCCCAGUGUCUGUUGUUUCCUUCUUUCUGUUAAUGAGUUCUCAUCAUUUAGCUCCCACUUAUAAGUGAGAACAUGUGCUAUGUGUUUUUCUGUUCCUGUGUUAGUUGGCUAAGGAUAAUGGCCUCCAGCUCCAUUUUUGUUUCCCUCUCCAGCAUCUGUUUUUUUUUUUAAUUUUUAGUAAUAUCCAUUCUGACUGGUAUGAGAUGGUAUCUCAUUGUGGUUCUGACUUGCAUUUCUGUAAUGGUCAAUGAUGUUCAGCUUUUCUUUUCAUGUGCUUGUUGCCCACAUGUAUGUUUUGUUUUGAAAAGUGUUUGUUCGUGUCCUUUAUCCACUUUUCAAUGGGGUUGUUUGCUUUUCUCUCGUAAAUUUGUUUAAUUUCCUUAUAGAUGUUAUGACCUAGCAGCUGUACCUUUUUUAAUUUCAAGACAUUCAAUAAACUAAGAACCAA
ensembl:lncRNA LINC01192 long intergenic non-protein coding RNA 1192